ensembl:lncRNA
CAAUGGAAUGAGACUGAAUCUUAGCUCCCGCUGCAGCUCAAUCUACUGCUGCCAGUAUUUCUGCCUCAGAUUUACUACCAUAUCGCAGAGCACCUAAGUGCAACCACGGAAGAUAGAGCUGUAGGAUGGAAGUUCAAGGUCCCAUCCCCACCCACUGAAGUCACUGCAUUCUGCACAGAACCAAAGCAGUACCCUUCUCCUCGUGACGUUUGGACAUUCUGCGGAGAUCAUGGUCUGCGCUGCUCUGCUGCUUCUCAUGGAAGGGAACUCCCUGUGUGCCAGCUACAAUGAUAUCCAAGCUGUAACACUUCUCCUUGUGUGGGUUUCCUAUCAAAAGCCAGCAGCUGCCCACUGGCCUCAGAACACACAUCGCUGGCAGUCAGUCACAUAGCUCCAUGUGAAUGCUGCUGCUUAUCUCAACUGGCUGCAACGGCAGCAGGUUUCCCAGUAAAGCUGCAAGCAAAUGGUCCGUUGUGCAGAUUCAGAUACGAAGAGCCAUGCAGCCAGGUGACAGCACACAUUGGCAGCCCAAAACAGAAAGGGAGUCCUCAUGGGAAUAGCUCCCUAGGUGUAAAACCAAGAGUUACGCCCUUGGCCACAUCCUCUGAAGUAGCUGCUGAAAUAAAUCAGAUGGCUGACAAUAUUGACGUGUGGCCUGCUAGAUUCCUGCUGCAGGGAAUACUGGGACAAAACUAAUAAUGCUGGCAUUGGUGGAAUAGCGAGCAGCUUUCAAGACCCAGGUAAACUGAUUAUGUUAGAUGGAUAACUAACCUCUCUGCAGCAUAGCAGAUCUCUUAAAUAAUUAUGUGAUUGGCCCUUUCUCCUGCUCCACUGGAAACACAAGGUGAGCCAACCUUGGUAAGAGCAGUAGGCAUCCCACUUCUAACUCCAGCAGAGAACUCCAUUUCAGCAGCAGCAGGUGGAAAUCAGGAGCUCAUGGAUUUGGGUUUAGUGCUCAGCACAAAUCUAAUUCUGAAUCCACUGAAGUGAAUGCAAGUUUUGUCAUCCAGCAGAAAUAGCAUUAAGUCGAGGUAUGAUGUCACUGGGCGAGUGCAAGUGGCAUAGUGGGUAACAGGGUUGUGAGACUGGUGGCUGCUAUAGCAUGGCAACACUCUCAUGGAAUUUCACACAGUUUGAUGUCAUUUCUAGUGUACUUCUAGAGUACUGUAUUGCUGCAUGCAGGGGACACACCAAUCUUCACUAAAAUAUGUGCACUUGCCAGCAGUUACUACAUCAGAUGUUUGAGACAUAUCUACCCAGUGGAAACUGUGUAAGCAACAGCACCAUGAAGCCCAGCUGAGCUGCUACAGAGACAUGGCAGUUCAGUGCCAAGAAAGAUACCAGUUAGGGUUCUGAAAGCAGUGCUGGAAACAGGUGCCUUCUUUGUGGUUGGACUAACGUGCUAAGGUGAUUGUGCUGCUCUCCCUUUAACAUUUGAGAAUUUUCGCACUGUGUUGCACUGUGCAAUGUAGAUAAGACUUGAGGUAUUGAUGUCCCCUUGACUCAAAUACAGACAAAAAUUAUGACACUUUCAUGGCACUAGUAUGUUUGCAUGUAGCUAAAUCUUGAGCUACUACUAUAUAUUCCUUCUUUACUACUGGUGAUCUAUCAUGAGCUCUCUGGAAGUCUUAUUUUGCUGUUUGAUAAAUACUGGAAGUAGAGAGGUAUUAUGGUAAAGUCAUCUUUUGCAAAACCU